UACGUAGGGUGCAAGCGUUAAUCGGAAUUACUGGGCGUAAAGCGUGCGUAGGCGGCUAUGUAAGACAGAUGUGAAAUCCCUGGGCUCAACCUAGGAACUGCAUUUGUGACUGCAUUGCUAGAGUGUGGUAGAGGGAGAUGGAAUUCCGCAUGUAGCAGUGAAAUGCGUAGAUAUGCGGAGGAACACCAAUGGCGAAGGCAAUCUCCUGGACCUGCACUGACGCUCAUGCACGAAAGCGUGGGGAGCAAACAGG
rnacentral:rRNA from 1 species